rnacentral:tRNA from 1 species
GGCCGUGUAGAUCAGUGGAUAGAUCGUCUGCCUCCGGUUUAGCAGAAGGUCGUAGGUUCAAACCCUACCACGGUC